AACGAACGCUGGCGGCAUGCCUAACACAUGCAAGUCGAACGAACCCUUCGGGGUGAGUGGCGCACGGGUGCGUAACACGUGGGAACCUGCCCUUAGGUUCGGAAUAACAGUUAGAAAUGACUGCUAAUACCGGAUAAUGUCUUCGGACCAAAGAUUUAUCGCCUUUGGAUGGGCCCGCGUAGGAUUAGCUAGUUGGUGAGGUAAAGGCUCACCAGGGCGACGAUCCUUAGCUGGUCUUAGAGGAUGAUCAGCCACACUGGGACUGAGACACGGCCCAGACUCCUACGGGAGGCAGCAGUGGGGAAUAUGGACAAUGGGCGAAAGCCUGAUCCAGCAAUGCCGCGUGAGUGAUGAAGGCCUUAGGGUUGUAAAGCUCUUUUACCUGGGAUGAUAAUGACAGUACCAGGAGAAUAAGCCCCGGCUAACUCCGUGCCAGCAGCCGCAGUAA
rnacentral:rRNA from 1 species